rnacentral:lncRNA from 1 species
GCCGCCCAAAAGAAGAGCUUCUUCUUUUCUUGUAGCUGCCCAAGAGGAAGAGCCAUCUUCCUCUCUUCUUCCUUUCUCUCCAAAAGGUUCUUCUUCUUUCUUGUUUCUUGAGAAAAAAAGAAGAAGAAGUCAGAUUCAGUUUGAAGUGAGAAAGAUCUGCAAAAAAACUAACACUCCGAUGAUUUUUGGAGUCUCUUGAUC